AAUUGGGCCCAAGGCAUGGAAGCCCAGUGGCUCUCAGCAAGGGAUGUGAAUUCGGAAGCAACACCUCAUGUGCUCGAGUUGCUUGCACGUUUUCCUUGUGGCCAAACAACGUCCAAACUAACCCUCUUCCCUCCAUCUAAGAGUCUCCUCCUCCGUGCCGGAGUUUGCCUCAGGCGGCGGCGGAGCCCUAAACCACCGAACCAAUUAUGUCAAAAUCUUCUUAUCCCUGCCCUGAUUCCGAAUCUAAAGUCUAAAUUUCACAAACCUUCACCAAUUCAAUGAAUCGAAACAUAUUAUACAUGAACCCUAGAAACAAAAUGUGAAAUUAAAAUGCAGCCUCUUGGAAUUAAAGCCCCCGGGAUUGGGGCUUCGAUGUCUCUAGUUGAAACCUACAUUCGGUACCGAGUUUGGAGCAAACGGCGGUGGAAAUGGAAUACUCACCGACGACGAUGACGAGGCGGUGACCGGAGUUCAGGGUUGCUACUUCCACGUUACCUGGCAACUGGUAUGUGUUAGAGGGAUCUACGCCAUUGGAAUUGCUAUUAUGAACUGAACUUGUUUAAUAUGAUAAUUAACAUUUGUCCAAACUGUUCAUCAUCUACUAUGGUUAGGGAACUAGGAUAGGUUGGUUUCGAGCUGCAAGUUUUAAGUUUGUUGUUAGUUAAUGUUAACUGGAGCGCUGCCAACUACUAGUUAUAUGAUGGAAAUUGGUGUGAUGUGGUCAGAAAAUGAAGCUGUCAUUGCCAUGCUUGUGUGACUUGCGGCGUUUACGGUUUGGAGCUUAAUGUUGGGGAAAUGGAGUUUCAGAUUGUUUGCGUGUCAUGCUGCGUAUUGGUUAUAGCUUGUGUACGUUCACGUUUAUUUCCUCAUCAUUUCUGCCAUGGCUCUCUCUCACUUGGGACACGGCUUCGAGUUAGCAAAUAUCCAUUUCAUGUUUUCGAAUUAUGUGUUGUUCUUCGUCAAUCUUUUGGAGAUCAAUAUAUUCGUUAUCUUAUUCACUAAGCAACAAGAAUUGAAGAACUGAGGUUGGAACAUCAGGAUCAACCACAUUCAAAGCAAUGCAUAUUGACGUCUCCUGAGAGCUUCUGAUGAUCCGUUUAUAAGAAUUUCCAUGAUAAGCUUAAACAAUAUGGUCAAGCAAGCACUAUUUGAUGAUUGUUUAACCACAAUGAGAUCAAGGCAUGUUAUACUGUCAGAACUUAGACUUCUCGGAAACAUAAACCUUUCAUCUCGCAGCUUAGCCAUGCAUGUCAGUGCUACCUGGGAUAAUAUGAAUGCCAUCCUCAGUGAAAAGUCUGGAGAAGCAGAUGCAGUGAAAGAGGAGUCAAGGAUCUGAAAGAGAAUUUCAGAUCGAUCUUCAAGCAUUGCUAAUCUUAUAGAUGCAUAUACCUCAACAAUCUGAGACCAAGCAGACAACAUAUGCAGUUGUGAAGCUUGCUCCUCAAGAUUUUUAUUGUAUUUCCAUCCCCAUCUCAACAUCUGUUGAGUUGUCUUUCUUACAUCACUUAGCUCAACUUUAUUGCUAAGAUUACUCCCCUGCCAAAGUUUGUCAUGGAGGGAAGCAAGGUCAAUCAGUCAGUCACCUCUUUCAGAAUAAUAGUAGACACCGCCCUUUCCAGAA